GCCGUAGCUCAAUGGCAGAACACUUGCUUUGGGCACAAAAGGUUCCAGGUUCAACCCCUGUUAUCUCCA